UGCGUAGGCGGCGGGGCAAGUCGGAUGUGAAAUCUCAGGGCUCAACCCUGAAACUGCAUUCGAUACUGCCUUGCUCGAGGACUGGAGAGGAGAUUGGAAUUCACGGUGUAGCAGUGAAAUGCGUAGAUAUCGUGAGGAAGACCAGUGGCGAAGGCGGAUCUCUGGACAGUUCCUGAGCUGAGGACACGAGGCGAGGGAGACAACG
rnacentral:rRNA from 1 species